GUUGACCGAGCAGGAAUUGCUGGGGCUCAGGGCCUUGGCUGACUGACGCGUCUGGGUGAGGUUUCGCGGUGCGGCCUUCGCGGGUGAACCC
rnacentral:tRNA from 1 species